AUUUCACUUUGGCGAUUGUUUCGCUGUAGUUAUAACAACAAUGACUUUUAAAGUCAAGCAAAAAAAAAAACGAUUCAACCCGAUUACAAACGAUGUGAAUCAGCAGGAAAUGUUAUUUUCCUGCAUAUUCUAUUCGAAUAUUUCAAACAUUUCAAAUAACAAUGUAAAAUUGUAUGAAUCCCAGCUAUGAAUUAUUAACAUCGUCGUCAUAGCAAUACUGAAACUGAAAAUGAAAACAAUACCAGUGUUUGACAGUUAAGCGGACGUAAACAAUCUGAUAACCAACAAAAUUCAAAGUGGUCGUUUUUUACUUUCGUGCGCUGUUUAAAUUAAAACUGCUACAAUUAUCGUAAUGGAUUCGCCGAAGAAAAGCCUCGUGCGCAAUACAAAGGCCCCCACGCCUGCAACGAAAGCAGAACGCGCCGCCAAUCAAGAAAUCGUCAUUAAACCGAUGGCGUCGCGUGAAAAUAUGAAAAAAUCCGAAAAAUCGUCGCGUUUGAAUACUGCGCAUUCGACGAAAACCUCAGCGAAAAGCCAUCAUGAUUUGUGUACGCCGGCAGUGAAUUCAUCGAAAAAUAUGCGCGCACAAAUGCAUGAACUUAAAGAAAACGCACCGAAAGGUUCGGCAAGAUCCGAUGGUCAUACGCCAUUCAUAAGUGAGCUUAUCACACGAAGUAUGAAUUUUCCACACAACAGAGCUAUUUUCAAGGAUUUAAUCCCUUUGGGUGAAGAAUUGAAAGCAAAAAAGGGGCCAACGUCAUCAACAAAAAUUAAUCUGGACAACCCCAGCCCUUCUGCUGUAUCCCUAGCGCCUACAUCUAGAUUUAGCUUAUCAAGUGCCUCCUAUUACACACCCAGGGACGGCAGUGAAUAUUCUUGUACAAAACUCACAUAUUCAAAGAGUGACUCACUCACACAAGAGUUCAGAGGCAAUAAAUCGUUUUGGAAUCACGUUUGCGAGCGCAAAUAACCAACUUUUGUAUCAAAUUCUAAAUGUUUUCAACAUUAGAAACCGUUCGAAUGAUUUUACAAGUUAUUAAACAAUGGAAAAUAA